rnacentral:lncRNA from 1 species
CAGCAGUCUGACUCCCAAUCCACUGCUUUUCCACUCACAUUGUUCCUGUCUUUCUCCUAGUUGUGGGGUCCCCCCCGGCGAUUUCGUCCUGAGCAGAUCCUGCAGCUCGUUUCCUACGGCAGAGUGGUCGGCAUGUGAGCCACCUGGACUUCGUUCAUCUGACAGCGCUGGGUUAUACUCUCUGUGGACUGCGGCCAGAGGAGCUCCAGCACAUCAGCAGUUGGGAGUUUAGGUCAUUUGUGAAGGGGCUGAGGGUGGUGGUGCUGAGGUAAAGGUGGACUUACUGGGGAAAGGAGGAUCAUGAA